rnacentral:rRNA from 1 species
CAGCAGCCACGGUAAUACGAAGGGUGCAAGCGUUACUCGGAAUUACUGGGCGUAAAGCGUGCGUAGGUGGUGGUUUAAGUCCGUUGUGAAAGCCCUGGGCUCAACCUGGGAAUUGCAGUGGAUACUGGGUCACUAGAGUGUGGUAGAGGAUAGUGGAAUCUCCGGUGUAGCAGUGAAAUGCGUAGAGAUCGGGAGGAACAUCAGUGGCGAAGGCGGCCAUCUGGGACAACACUGACGCUGAGGCACGAAAGCGUGGGGAGCAAACAGGAUUAGAUACCCCUGUAGUCCCUGUCUCUUAUAC